GACGUAGGGCGCGAGCGUUGUCCGGAUUUAUUGGGCGUAAAGAGCUCGUAGGCGGCUUGUCGCGUCGUCCGUGAAAACCUGCGGCUCAACUGCAGGCUGGCGGUCGAUACGGGCAGGCUAGAGUUUGGUAGGGGAGACUGGAAUUCCUGGUGUAGCGGUGAAAUGCGCAGAUAUCAGGAGGAACACCGGUGGCGAAGGCGGGUCUCUGGGCCAAUACUGACGCUGAGGAGCGAAAGCGUGGGGAGCGAACAGG
rnacentral:rRNA from 1 species